GAGUUUGAUCCUGGCUCAGAUUGAACGCUGGCGGCAUGCCUAACACAUGCAAGUCGAACGGGGUGUAGCAAUACACCUAGUGGCGGACGGGUGAGGAAUACGUAGGAAUCUGCCCUUGAGUGGGGGAUAGCCCAGGGAAACUUGGAGUAAUACCGCAUGAUCUCUUCGGAGCAAAGCUGGGGACCGUAAGGCCUGGCGCUCUUGGAGGAGCCUACGUCUGAUUAGCUAGUUGGUGGGGUAAUGGCCCACCAAGGCGACGAUCAGUAACUGGUCUGAGAGGACGAUCAGUCACACCGGAACUGAGACACGGUCCGGACUCCUACGGGAGGCAGCAGUGGGGAAUAUUGGACAAUGGGCGAAAGCCUGAUCCAGCAAUGCCGCGUGUGUGAAGAAGGCCUUCGGGUUGUAAAGCACUUUAGCCAGGAAAGAAAAAACUUGACCUAAUACGUCAAGUCUUGACGGUACCUGGAGAAUAAGCACCGGCUAACUCUGUGCCAGCAGCCGCGGUAAUACAGAGGGUGCAAGCGUUAAUCGGAUUUACUGGGCGUAAAGCGUGUGCAGGUGGUUCUGCAAGUCGGUUGUGAAAUCCCCGGGCUCAACCUGGGAACUGCUUCCGAGACUGCAAGACUAGAGUACGGCAGAGGGCGGUGGAAUUUCCGGUGUAGCGGUGAAAUGCGUAGAUAUCGGAAGGAACACCAAUGGCGAAGGCAACCGCCUGGGCCUGUACUGACACUGAGACACGAAAGCGUGGGGAUCAAACAGGAUUAGAUACCCUGGUAGUCCACGCCGUAAACGAUGAGAACUUGGUGUUGGUUUGCUUUUAGCGAAUCAGUGCCGAAGCUAACGCGUUAAGUUCUCCGCCUGGGGAGUACGGCCGCAAGGUUGAAACUCAAAGGAAUUGACGGGGGCCCGCACAAGCGGUGGAGUAUGUGGUUUAAUUCGAUGCAACGCGAAGAACCUUACCUGGCCUUGACAUGUCUGGAAGACUGCAGAGAUGCGGUUGUGCCUUCGGGAAUCAGAACACAGGUGCUGCAUGGCUGUCGUCAGCUCGUGUCGUGAGAUGUUGGGUUAAGUCCCGCAACGAGCGCAACCCUUGCCCUUAGUUGCCCCCAUUAAGUUGAGCACUCUA
rnacentral:rRNA from 1 species